GACGAACGCUGGCGGCGUGCUUAACACAUGCAAGUCGAGCGCGAACGGGGGCAACCCCUAGUAGAGCGGCGCACGGGUGAGUAUCGCGUGGGUAAUCAACCCUUGGGUGGGGUAUAACACUUCGAAAGGAGUGCUAAUCCCGCAUAAGACCACAGGAGCUUUGGCUCCCGGGGCCAAAGAGGCGGAGCAAUCCGACUCGCCUGAGGACGAGCCCGCGUCCCAUUAGCUAGUUGGUGAGGUAAUGGCCCACCAAGGCCACGAUGGGUAGCUGGGAUGAGAGGACGGCCAGCCACACUGGGACUGGAACACGGCCCAGACUCCUACGGGAGGAAGCAGUGAGGAAUAUUGCGCAAUGGGCGAAAGCCUGACGCAGCAACGCCGCGUGAGUGAUGAAGGCCUUCGGGUUGUAAAGCUCUGUCGGGUGGGACGAUGUGACUCGGGUAACGACCGGGUUGUGACGGUACCAUCAAAGGAAGCACCGGCUAACUCCGUGCCAGCAGCCGCGGUAAAAC
rnacentral:rRNA from 1 species